AAGCCCCCCCCCCCCCCUCCCUUUCACAGGGGCCACAAGUCCCUCCCUGUUCUUGCAUCCCCCAAACAAACAAACAGCCCCGCUGGUUUUAGAUUAAUGAUUAGCAUAUUCUAUGAGCCUUUUAUUUUUUUAAUAUUUUUAAAAAAUCAACAGCACGCCUUACUUUUAGUCUCGCAUACGUUAGCAAUGAUUUUGUACCGUUUCCCAUCAUUGUUGGCAAAUCUUAAAUGUUUUAUCAGUGGCCUUCAGUUCACGCUGCACUGACAUACAUACAUUUUAGACUGUUCCAUCUUCCAGUCGCAGCUUAUCAUCCUCAUCAUUUUAUUUAUUCUCAUGUCAGAAAAACGUAGUUUCCGUUGUAGAUGGCCGAGGCUAUGUAGAGUGUAACUAAUACUAGAGCUUUAAAACUGAAAAAAAAAAAAAAAUUAUAUUCGCCUAAUAAUAAAGCUCAGUUCAUGCAACUUAUUGUUUUAUUGAUUAAGUCUUUUUUUUUUUUUUGUUUAGGAGAGGAUAGAUAAAUAUCCACUGUUUGGAACCUUAAAAGAUUUAGUGUUUUUUUUUUUUUCCAAAAAGGCUGAACUACAAUUUCAUAGUGGCAGAGGUUCCUGCUGCUGUUAGGGAGAAGGCUCAACAUGUUGUUGAGUUAAAGGCUUGUAUUUUUACAUUUUUUUUUUAAGGCUAUGACUUUGUUGUGUAGGCUCUAUGUUAUUGUAUUUUGGAAUAAACUUAAUAAAACUACUCUUUAUAUGAAGAC